GCAAGUCGAACGAAGUAGCAAUACUUAGUGGCAGACGGGUGAGUAACAUGUAGGUAUCUGCCCUUUGGCCUGGAAUAACACGAGGAAACUUGUGCUAAUACCGGAUAAGUCUUUACGGAGAAAGCUUUAUGCACCAUUGGAUGAGCCUGCACUUGAUUAGUUUGUUGGUAGGGUAAUGGCCUACCAAGACUGUGAUCAAUAGCUGAUUUGAGAGGAUGAUCAGCCACAUUGGGACUGAGACACGGCCCAAACUCCUACGGGAGGCAGCAGUGGGGAAUCUUGCACAAUGGAGGAAACUCUGAUGCAGCGAUGCCGCGUGAGUGAAGAAGGCCCUUGGGUUGUAAAGCUCUUUCGUCGGGGAAGAAAAUGACUGUACCCGAAUAAGAAGGUCCGGCUAACUUCGUGCCAGCAGCCGCGGUAAUACGAAGGGACCUAGCGUAGUUCGGAAUUACUGGGCUUAAAGAGUUCGUAGGUGGUUGAAAAAGUUGGUGGUGAAAUCCCAGAGCUUAACUCUGGAACUGCCAUCAAAACUUUUCAGCUAGAGUAUGAUAGAGGAAAGUAGAAUUUCUAGUGUAGAGGUGAAAUUCGUAGAUAUUAGAAAGAAUACCGAUUGCGAAGGCAGCUUUCUGGAUCAUUACUGACACUGAGGAACGAAAGCAUGGGUAGCGAAGAGGAUUAGAUACCCUCGUAGUCCAUGCCGUAAACGAUGUGUGUUAGACGUUGGAAAUUUAUUUUCAGUGUCGCAGCGAAAGCGAUAAACACACCGCCUGGGGAGUACGACCGCAAGGUUAAAACUCAAAUGAAUUGA
rnacentral:rRNA from 1 species